AUUGAACGCUGGCGGCAGGCCUAACACAUGCAAGUCGAGCGAGCGACGGACGGGUGAGUAAUGUAUGGGGACUGCCCGAUAGAGGGGGAUAACUACUGGAAACGGUAGCUAAUACCGCAUACGAUCGGAUAACCCAUAUGUGAUUAGCUAGUAGGUGAGGUAAAGGCUCACCAAGCCAACUAUCCGUAGCUGGUUUGAGAGGACGACCAGCCACACUGGGACUGAGACACGGCCCAGACUCCUACGGAGGCAGCAGUGGGGAAUUUUGGACAAUGGGGGAAACCCUGAUCCAGCCAUGCCGCGUGUAUGAUGAAGGCCUUCGGGUUGUAAAGUACUUUUGGCAGAGAAGCGGUAUCUGCAGAAUAAGCACCGGCUAACUACGUGCCAGCAGCCGCGGUAAUUC
rnacentral:rRNA from 1 species